UAAAAAAUUUUGGCGGUAUUUUAAGCUUAUUAGAGGAAUUUGCUCUGUGAUGGACACAACGCCUUAAUCUUACUUAAUUUAGUAAUUUAAAUCAGUUUGUAUACCACUAUAUUAAUUAUAUUGAAUAGUUAUAUUUAAAAUUUUUUUAAAAAAAUAUAUUAAGUCAAGGUGCAUCUAAUAAUUAUGAAUGAAGUGAAUUACAUUAAUUUUAAUGUAAUUUUUUACAUGAAAAAAUUAAUUAGGAUUUAAUAGUAAAAUACUAAUAUUAUGAGUAUUUGAAUCAAGCUCUAAAAUAUGCACAUAUCGCCCGUCGCUCUCAGAAGUGAGAUAAGUCGUAACAAAGUAAAAAUACUGGAAAGUGUUUUUUAAAAUGAAAUCAUUUGAUGUUUCAUUUACAAUGAAAAUUUUGUUGUUUAACCAUUUUAA
rnacentral:rRNA from 1 species